rnacentral:tRNA from 1 species
UGGCUUUUAACUCAAUGGUAGAGUAACGAGCUUAUACCUCGUAAGUUCUUGGUUCGAAUCCAAAUAAGCCAA